rnacentral:rRNA from 1 species
UACGGGGGGGGCAAGCGUUGUUCGGAAUUACUGGGCGUAAAGGGCUCGUAGGCGGCCAACUAAGUCGGAUGUGAAAUCCCCAGGCUCAACCUGGGAACUGCAUCCGAUACUGGAUGGCUUGAAUUCGGGAGAGGGAUGCAGAAUUCCAGGUGUAGCGGUGAAAUGCGUAGAUAUCUGGAGGAACACCGAUGGCGAAGGCAGGUCUCUGGGCCACUACUGACGCUGAGAAGCGAAAGCAUGGGGAGCAAACAGG